ACGCUCGACACCUACGGGAGGCAGCAGUGGGGGAUAUUGCACAAUGGGGGAAACCCUGAUGCAGCGACGCCGCGUGAAGGAAGAAGGCCUUGGGUUGUAAACUUCUGUCGUACGGGACGAUAAUGACGGUACCGUACAAGAAAGCCACGGCUAACUACGUGCCUGCAGCCGCGGUAAUCUGAGCGGGCUGCAAGGC
rnacentral:rRNA from 1 species